UGGGGAAUAUUGCACAAUGGGCGCAAGCCUGAUGCAGCCAUGCCGCGUGUAUGAAGAAGGCCUUCGGGUUGUAAAGUACUUUCAGCGGGGAGGAAGGUGUUGAGGUUAAUAACCUCAGCAAUUGACGUUACCCGCAGAAGAAGCACCGGCUAACUCCGUGCCAGCAGCCGCGGUAAUACGGAGGGUGCAAGCGUUAAUCGGAAUUACUGGGCGUAAAGCGCACGCAGGCGGUCUGUCAAGUCGGAUGGGAAAUCCCCGGGCUCAACCUGGGAACUGCAUUCGAAACUGGGAGGCUAGAGUCUUGUAGAGGGGGGUAGAAUUCCAGGUGUAGCGGUGAAAUGCGUAGAGAUCUGGAGGAAUAC
rnacentral:rRNA from 1 species